rnacentral:rRNA from 1 species
AGACUUUGAUCCUGGCUCAUGACGAACGCUGGCGGCGUGCCUAAUACAUGCAAGUCGAGCGAGCUUGCCUAGAUGAUUUUAGUGCUUGCACUAAAUGAAACUAGAUACAAGCGAGCGGCGGACGGGUGAGUAACACGUGGGUAACCUGCCCAAGAGACUGGGAUAACACCUGGAAACAGAUGCUAAUACCGGAUAACAACACUAGACGCAUGUCUAGAGUUUGAAAGAUGGUUCUGCUAUCACUCUUGGAUGGACCUGCGGUGCAUUAGCUAGUUGGUAAGGUAACGGCUUACCAAGGCAAUGAUGCAUAGCCGAGUUGAGAGACUGAUCGGCCACAUUGGGACUGAGACACGGCCCAAACUCCUACGGGAGGCAGCAGUAGGGAAUCUUCCACAAUGGACGAAAGUCUGAUGGAGCAACGCCGCGUGAGUGAAGAAGGGUUUCGGCUCGUAAAGCUCUGUUGGUAGUGAAGAAAGAUAGAGGUAGUAACUGGCCUUUAUUUGACGGUAAUUACUUAGAAAGUCACGGCUAACUACGUGCCAGCAGCCGCGGUAAUACGUAGGUGGCAAGCGUUGUCCGGAUUUAUUGGGCGUAAAGCGAGUGCAGGCGGUUCAAUAAGUCUGAUGUGAAAGCCUUCGGCUCAACCGGAGAAUUGCAUCAGAAACUGUUGAACUUGAGUGCAGAAGAGGAGAGUGGAACUCCAUGUGUAGCGGUGGAAUGCGUAGAUAUAUGGAAGAACACCAGUGGCGAAGGCGGCUCUCUGGUCUGCAACUGACGCUGAGGCUCGAAAGCAUGGGUAGCGAACAGAAGUAGAUACCCUGGUAGUCCAUGCCGUAAACGAUGCUAUGUAGGUGUUGGGAGGUUUCCGCCUCUCAGUGCUACAGCUAACGCAUUAAGCACUCCGCGUGGGGAGUACGACCGCAAGGGUGAAACUCAAAGGAAUUGACGGGGGCCCGCACAAGCGGUGAGAGCAUGUGGUUUAAUUAGAAGCAACGCGAAGAACCUUAACAGGUCUUGACAUCCAGUGCAAACUUAAGAGAUUAGGUGUUCCCUUCGGGGACGCUGAGACAGGUGGUGCAUGGCUGUCGUCAGCUCGUGUCGUGAGAUGUUGGGUUAAGUCCCGCAACGAGCGCAACCCUUGUCAUUAGUUGCCAUCAUUAAGUUGGGCACUCUAAUGAGACUGCCGGUGACAAACCGGAGGAAGGUGGGGAUGACGUCAAGUCAUCAUGCCCCUUAUGACCUGGGCUACACACGUGCUACAAUGGACGGUACAACGAGAAGCGAACCUGCGAAGGCAAGCGGAUCUCUUAAAGCCGUUCUCAGUUCGGACUGUAGGGUGCAACUCGCCUACACGAAGCUGGAAUCGCUAGUAAUCGCGGAUCAGCACGACGCGGUGAAUACGUUCCCGGGCCUUGUACACACCGCCCGUCACACCAUGAGAGUCUGUAACACCCAAAGCCGGUGGGAUAACCUUUAUAGGAGUAAGCCGUCUAAGGUAGGACAGAUGAUUAGGGUGA